UACGUAGGGACCGAGCGUUGUCCGGAUUUAUUGGGCGUAAAGAGCUCGUAGGCGGCUCAGUAAGUCAGGUGUGAAAACUCCAGGCUCAACCUGGAGACGCCAUCUGAUACUGCUGUGGCUAGAGUCCGGUAGGGGAGCAUGGAAUUCCUGGUGUAGCGGUGAAAUGCGCAGAUAUCAGGAGGAACACCAGUGGCGAAGGCGGUGCUCUGGGCCGGAACUGACGCUGAGGAGCGAAAGCGUGGGGAGCAAACAGG
rnacentral:rRNA from 1 species